AAGUCGUAACAAGGUUUCCGUAGGUGAACCUGCGGAAGGAUCAUUUCCAAUAAUUGAAAAAAACACAAACAUUUGAACACCUUUAUUGGUGUGUGAAUUGUUUUGGGUACUCUUAUUUCUCUCAAAAGGGAUGUGGAAUUUGGAAUUUGGAUUUUGGAACUUGUUUUCCAUCUUCCUAUUCUCUAUUCUCACUCUCCCUUAGAGAGGCCUUGAUGAACCACUAAAAGGGGUCGUUUUGUGGAAAAAUAGCUGUGAAUAUGUAUUUAUUCACUUCUAUCGACCAUGAUUCUCCCUUUUACCAAACGUUAACAAAAAAAGCUCGUCUUAUUUUGUUUUUGCUUUCUUCUUUGUAAGAAACAAUAAAUGAUUGACAACUUUUAACGGUGGAUCUCUUGGCUCGU
rnacentral:misc_RNA from 1 species